UAGGGAAUCUUCCGCAAUGGGCGAAAGCCUGACGGAGCAACGCCGCGUGAGUGAAGAAGGAUUUCGGUUCGUAAAGCUCUGUUGUUAGGGAAGAAUGAUUGUGUAGUAACUAUACACAGUAGAGACGGUACCUAACCAGAAAGCCACGGCUAACUACGUGCCAGCAGCCGCGGUAAUACGUAGGUGGCAAGCGUUGUCCGGAAUUAUUGGGCGUAAAGCGCGCGCAGGUGGUUUAAUAAGUCUGAUGUGAAAGCCCACGGCUCAACCGUGGAGGGUCAUUGGAAACUGUUAAACUUGAGUGCAGGAGAGAAAAGUGGAAUUCCUAGUGUAGCGGUGAAAUGCGUAGAGAUUAGGAGGAACACCAGUGGCGAAGGCGGCUUUUUGGCCUGUAACUGACACUGAGGCGCGAAAGCGUGGGGAGCAAACAGGAUUAGAUACCCUGGUAGUCCACACCGUAAACGAUGAGUGCUAAGUGUUGGUCUCAUAAGAGAUCAGUGCUGCAGCUAACGCAUUAAGCACUCCGCCUGGGGAGUACGACCGCAAGGUUG
rnacentral:rRNA from 1 species